rnacentral:rRNA from 1 species
UAGGGAAUCUUCGGCAAUGGGCGAAAGCCUGACCGAGCAACGCCGCGUGAAUGAUGAAGGCCUUCGGGUUGUAAAAUUCUGUUAUAAGGGAAGAACGACUUUAGUAGGAAAUGGCUAAAGUGUGACGGUACCUUAUGAGAAAGCCACGGCUAACUACGUGCCAGCAGCCGCGGUAAUACGUAGGUGGCAAGCGUUAUCCGGAAUUAUUGGGCGUAAAGAGCGCGCAGGUGGUUGAUUAAGUCUGAUGUGAAAGCCCACGGCUUAACCGUGGAGGGUCAUUGGAAACUGGUCGACUUGAGUGCAGAAGAGGGAAGUGGAAUUCCAUGUGUAGCGGUGAAAUGCGUAGAGAUAUGGAGGAACACCAGUGGCGAAGGCGGCUUCCUGGUCUGUAACUGACACUGAGGCGCGAAAGCGUGGGGAGCAAACAG